CCUACGGGAGGCAGCAGUGGGGAAUAUUGGACAAUGGGGGCAACCCUGAUCCAGCCAUGCCGCGUGUGUGAAGAAGGCCCUCGGGUUGUAAAGCACUUUCAGUGAGGAAGAACGCCUGGUGGUUAAUACCCAUCAGGAAAGACAUCACUCACAGAAGAAGCACCGGCUAACUCCGUGCCAGCAGCCGCGGUAAUACGGAGGGUGCGAGCGUUAAUCGGAAUUACUGGGCGUAAAGCGCGCGUAGGUGGCUUGAUAAGCCGGUUGUGAAAGCCACGGGCUCAACCUGGGAACGGCAUCCGGAACUGUCAAGCUAGAGUGAAGGAGAGGAAGGUAGAAUUCCCGGUGUAGCGGUGAAAUGCGUAGAGAUCGGGAGGAAUACCAGUGGCGAAGGCGGCCUUCUGGACUGACACUGACACUGAGGUGCGAAAGCGUGGGUAGCAAACAGGAUUAGAUACCCCUGUAGUC
rnacentral:rRNA from 1 species